GUCCACGCCGUAAACGAUGGGUGCUAGGUGUGGGGGUGUCGACUCCCUCCGUGCCGAAGCUAACGCAUUAAGCACCCCGCCUGGGGAGUACGGCCGCAAGGCUAAAACUCAAAGGAAUUGACGGGGCCCGCACAAGCAGCGGAGCAUGUGGUUUAAUUCGACGCAACGCGAAGAACCUUACCUGGGCUUGACAUGCACGGGAAUGUCGUGGAAACACGGCAGCCUUUCGGGGCUCGUGCACAGGUGUUGCAUGGCUGUCGU
rnacentral:rRNA from 1 species